UAAUACGUAGGGGCCUAGCGUUGUCCGGAUUUAUUGGGCGUAAAGAGCUCGUAGGCGGUUCGGUAAGUCAGGUGUGAAAUCUCCACGCUCAACGUGGAGGGGCCACCUGAUACUGCCGUGACUUGAGUCCGGUAGGGGAGUGUGGAAUUCCCGGUGUAGCGGUGAAAUGCGCAGAUAUCGGGAGGAACACCAGUGGCGAAGGCGGCACUCUGGGCCGGAACUGACGCUGAGGAGCGAAAGCGUGGGGAGCAAACAGGAUUAGAUACCCUGGUAGUCCACGCCGUAAACGUUGGGCACUAGGUGUGGGACCCUAUCGACGGGUUCCGUGCCGUAGCUAACGCAUUAAGUGCCCCGCCUGGGGAGUACGGCCGCAAGGCUA
rnacentral:rRNA from 1 species